GGGACCUCAGGGAACCCGCGCCUGCACCCUCGGGGUCGGUCCCGUCCCGCCCGGGUUGGGUGGGGCUGCCGCGAGUCGGAAGAGGUGGGAUGCUGCUGCCUGGCGGUGCUGCAGUGGCGGAUCUUCAGGAGGAGGAUUUGUCCCCAGUGCCUUAUUUAGUUCACUUGGUGAGGUCAUGUUUUCCUGGAUGGUGUUGAUGCUAGUAGAUGUUCUUCAGUGUCUGGACAUUAAAAUCUUGGGCAUGCAGCACCAUAUGAGAAGUUUAAAAAAUAAAAUUUAAAGAGAGAAAAGGCUUUGGUAUCAGGAUGAUUCUUCAUAUUCUAUUCACAAUAGGGAAGGCAUGGAAUUAACUUAUGUGUGAAUCAAUAAAUUGGAUAGAAAUAUGUGCCACAUAUACGCCAUAAAACACUAUGCACACAUUAAAAAGAAUACAAUUAUGUCCUGUGCAGUAACAUGC
rnacentral:lncRNA from 10 species